UUGAAGAACUUGAGGACCUAUCCUCUAGUCUUGAUGAAGAAAAGUCCAGAAGAAAGUUGUUUAAAAGGCAGAAAGUCAAAGCGACCAUUUCAGCACCUUGCCCUCUGCAAAGUUAUAACAAAAGCCUGCCUCAGAGCUCAUAAAGGAUGCAGCGAGGCCAACGUUGAAGAGCAAAUUGCCGAAUUUUUAAAAUAUGCUCCAGGCAAGCAAGGUUGUUCUAGAUUUA